rnacentral:lncRNA from 1 species
CUCCAAAGCUCUGCAGCCAUCCCUACCAGCAACAGCAAGUUCCUGCUCCUGUCAGUUAAAAGCCUGUUUACCUUUGAACUCAGUGGGAACAAGAACCGGGCCCUUGUGCAACUGUGGGAAAUAAUUGACUGCAGUAACAUUUCCAUCAGCCCUGUGAGUUGAUUUGAACCAGAUUACUCAGGAAACUCAAAAGCCCGAUGCGAGGUUUUUAUGAUGGAUUUUUCCAAGGCAAAAAAUCCAUGGACUGGCUUCAUACCACCAGCACAGUUUAGGUUUUCCAUCGUGAGACUGAUGCUACCCUUGAGCCUGAAAAUGGCUGGCAAGAGACUUCUGGGUGACUGGAGGAGACUGUCACAGCAGUGCCUGUGGGGAGAUGCUGGAGUCACUCAGGCACAGCAAGUCCUUCUCUGAGCCAACUGAUCCUUGGCAGGUGGCAAACAGA